rnacentral:sRNA from 1 species
GUCGCGACCGCAUCCUUAUGGGCAUGAGGGAGAGCGGACGAUUCCGUGUC